AGAAAAUGAGCUGGCGCCACGCGUCAGUUUCCGAUUCGUCCAGCUUGCUUCCCUCGCAAAAAGAAGAACAAUAUCCACGCCUGGAUGAGAGUGUUACUGAAGUGGCAAGUUUCCGAAUUUCGAUCUCCAAACAACUGUUCAUCAAUGGAUUCCUUCUCCCAGAAACCUAAACCCAGAAACUCUCUCUACCCAGAAGUAAUCGACUCCAACCCCGAAGUCUAUUCGUCCUUCCAAAAACCUAAUCACCAACAGCAGAGUUCUCUCUACCCUUCCCUUGACGUUGAUGACCUCAGCGACCUUGUCCAAACCCUAUUUCCCCGAAAUGACACCGGAAGCAGCGAUGGCAGUGUUCAUUCGCCGUCUGCUCCACCGGCCGCUACGGAGGAGGUCCUCAUCAGGAUCCCCGGCGCCAUCCUCAACCUCAUCGACACCCACUACAGCGUCGAGCUCGCUUCCGGCGACUUCUCCAUCAUCCGCCUCCGGCAGGGUGACAGCGCCGUCGCCGUUUACGCCCGCGUUGCCGACGAGAUCCAAUGGCCCCUCGCCAAGGACGAAACUGCCGUCAAGGUCGACGACUCUCACUACUUUUUCUCCUUCCGACCCCCCAAGGGCUCCGAAUCCAAUUCCGAUUCCGAAGGGGCAAGAGGGAUUGCUGAGGGAGCUGGACGCGGUUUUGCAGAGCUGUAGCAAUUUCUCGGUGCAGAAGGUUUCUGAGAGUUCGAAGAAAAAAGGGGAGGUUCUAGAUGGUUCAUUGGCGAAGGAGACUUCGCCAAAGGAUUUAGAUUCGGCGAAGAAGAAGGAGAUGUUGGAGGAGCGGAGCGCUGCGUAUUGGACCACGCUGGCCCCAAAUGUGGAGGAUUAUAGUGGAACCGCGGCGAGGAUGAUUGCGGCGGGUUCCGGGCACGUGAUCAAGGGGAUUCUUUGGUGUGGGGAUGUGACUGUGGAGAGGUUGAAAUGGGGGAACGAGGUUAUGAAGAAGAGGAUGAGCCCUCGCUCGCAAGCUCAAGUUAGCCCUGAAACCAUGAAGCGGAUUAGAAGGGUUAAGAGAGUGAGUAAAAUGACAGAGAAGGUGGCAAAUGGGUUCCUGUCCGGUGUCCUGAAAGUAUCUGGAUUUUUCGCCAGUUCAUUGGCAAACUCAAAAGCAGGAAAGAAGUUCUUCAGCAUGCUCCCAGGGGAAGUUGUGCUUGCAUCAUUGGAUGGAUUCAAUAAAGUGUGUGAUGCUGUUGAAGUAGCUGGAAGAAAUGUAAUGUCAACAUCAUCCGAUGUAACAACUGAGCUUGUCAAUCAUAGAUAUGGAGAUCAGGCUGCUGAGGCGACAAAGGAAGGGCUUGGUGCUGCUGGUCAUGCUUUGAGUGCUGCCUGGGCUGCUGUUAAGAUUAGGAAGGCUCUUAACCCUAAGAGUGCUCUUAAACCUACCUCCCUGGCCAAAACUGGUCUUAAAGCUGCAGCUGAGGAAUUUAAGGCCAAAAGUUCCAAGUAAUUAUGCGAAGAUUAGCUCAAUUUAAUUUUAUGUAAAGCUUAUAUCAGCUUUCCAUUACCUACUUUUUUCUCCAAGAGAACAUGAGAAGUUGAGAACAUAAACAUAUCAUUUGUUGUUUUUAGUGUAUUCAUGUACAUGUGUAAAGUGUGGCUGUUGUAUUUAUUUCUCUUGUGGCAUGAAAAAAAAUUCACUAAUGUUUAGGGAUGAAUGUUAGAAAUUUUAAUGAAUUUUACAUUUGAUUCUGAGCUGCAUGUGUCCUUUGUUGGCAUAAGUUGUUUCCAAAGUGCGUUUAUAGUAUCAUACCACUUUCACUUUC